rnacentral:rRNA from 1 species
GACGAACGCUGGCGGCGUGCUUAACACAUGCAAGUCGAACGGAAAGGCCCUGCUUUUGUGGUGUGCUCGAGUGGCGAACGGGUGAGUAACACGUGAGUAACCUGCCCUUGACUUUGGGAUAACUUCAGGAAACUGGGGCUAAUACCGGAUAGGAGCUCCUGCUGCAUGGUGGGGGUUGGAAAGUUUCGGCGGUUGGGGAUGGACUCGCGGCUGAUGAGCUUGUUGGUGGGGUAGUGGCUUGCCAAGGCUUUGACGGGUAGCCGGCCUGAGAGGGUGACCGGCGACAUUGGGACUGAGAUACGGCCCAGACUCCUACGGGAGGCAGCAGUGGCGAGUAUUGCACAGUGGGCGGAAGCCUGAUGCAGCAACGCCGCGUGCGGGAUGACGGCCUUCGGGUUGUAAACCGCUUUCGCCUGUGACGAAGCGUGAGUGACGGUAAUGGGUAAAGAAGCACCGGCUAACUACGUG